rnacentral:snRNA from 1 species
AUCGUUUCUCAGCCUUUUGGCUAAGAUCAA